GCCGCUGUGGCUUAGAGGUAUAGCGAUUCCUUGGUAAGGAAUAGGUCGUGGGUUCAAUUCCCAUCAGCGGCU
rnacentral:tRNA from 2 species